rnacentral:rRNA from 1 species
AGUGAACGCUGGCGGUAGGCCUAACACAUGCAAGUCGAACGGCAGCACAGGAGAGCUUGCUCUCUGGGUGGCGAGUGGCGGACGGGUGAGGAAUACAUCGGAAUCUACUCUGUCGUGGGGGAUAACGUAGGGAAACUUACGCUAAUACCGCAUACGACCUACGGGUGAAAGCAGGGGAUCUUCGGACCUUGCGCGAUUGAAUGAGCCGAUGGCGGAUUAGCUAGUUGGCGGGGUAAAGGCCCACCAAGGCGACGAUCCGUAGCUGGUCUGAGAGGAUGAUCAGCCACACUGGAGCUGAGACACGGUCCAGACUCCUACGGGAGGCAGCAGUGGGGAAUAUUGGACAAUGGGCGCAAGCCUGAUCCAGCCAUACCGCGUGGGUGAAGAAGGCCUUCGGGUUGUAAAGCCCUUUUGUUGGGAAAGAAAUCCAGCUGGCUAAUACCCGGUUGGGAUGACGGUACCCAAAGAAUAAGCACCGGCUAACUUCGUGCCAGCAGCCGCAGUAA